GGCGAGGUAGCUCAGUUGGUUAGAGCGCAGGAUUCAUAACCCUGAGGCCGAGAGUUCAAAUCUCUCUCUCGCUACAA
rnacentral:tRNA from 3 species